rnacentral:rRNA from 1 species
GACUAGUCGUACUCCGAUGCAUNCNGAAUUAUUUAUUGAUCAUGGCUCAGAGUGANCGCUGGCGUGUAGGCCUAACACAUGCAAGUCGAACGGCAGCACAGGAGAGCUUGCUCUCUGGGUGGCGAGUGGCGGACGGGUGAGGAAUACAUCGGAAUCUACUCUGUCGUGGGGGAUAACGUAGGGAAACUUACGCUAAUACCGCAUACGACCUACGGGUGAAAGCAGGGGAUCUUCGGACCUUGCGCGAUU